GAACGCACCUUGCGCCCUUUGGUAUUCCGAAGGGCAUGCCUGUUUGAGUGUCAUGAAACCUCACCCCACUUGGGUUUUUGCCCGAGCGGUGGUGGAUUGGGUGUCUGCCGUUACUGGCUCACCUUAAAAGCAUAAGCAACUUUGGAUGUAAUACGUUUCAUCCUUACGAGUGGCUGAUAACCCCACAUAACUCAUGAUCUGGCCUCAAAUCAGGUAGGGCUACCCGCUGAACUUA
rnacentral:misc_RNA from 1 species